rnacentral:lncRNA from 10 species
AGUAUGUAUAGAUCUGCUUCAUUCUUUUGAACUGCUGCCUAAUAUUCCAGAAGACAGAUGCACCAGAGUUUAUUUAGCCAUUCCCUGUUGAUGGCUGUUAGGCUGUUUUCUACUUCAGAAUGACCAAAAUUGCAAUGAACAUCCUUAUACAUGCUGAGCUCACGGAUGCCUGCUUCUUUGGGUGACAUACUGAGAAAUGGAAUGAGGUGUUUAAGAAUUGGUGUAUACUCAGGAGGCUGAGAUGGGAGGACCCCUUGAACCCAGGAUUUCGAGACCAGUCUGAGCAAUAUAGCGAGACCCCCAUCUCAAAACAACAACAAAACAAACAACAAAAGACUUGGUGCUCAAUAAGUGUUUGUUGAAUGAUCUCUAACCACAAGUUCUUUGUUAAUCUCUGUGCAAUAUACUUUCCAUUUACCAAGACUGCAUCUAACUUGGAGGUUAUUUCUUAAGGUUGAAAAACAUUCUUAAGAAAGUUGGCUGAAUUUUUGCACAUCCCUCCCCGGUAACAAGUUACAGAUACCUUUCAUUUAAAGUUGCCUAAGACAGGACUCACCUCCUGUUCUGCUGGCAGGAGGCAGUGAAAACAGAUGUGGUUGUCUCAGACAAUAGCUAGCAGGGUGUCCCACCCACUGGGAAAUGGCAGACCAGAGGCGCUUUAAAAAUCCUGGGAACCAGACAGAAGAUGGAAUGGUGAGGGAGUAGGGUCAGAAUCACAGGGACACUCCGGAUUCAAGGAGGUAAAUUCUUUUACGCAGUUUUGAUAUAGAGGAAACCACUAAUAAUGUGUAAAGUCUGACAAUUAAUGGAUCCAGGUGAGGUGUAACUGUGGUAGGAUAGGAAAAACCAGAGAAGAGGAGAACUGGGCAUGUUUUAAAAGGAAAUUUGGCUACAGGAAAGAGGGGUUAUGAAGAUGUGAAUUAUGCGACUCAAGAUAAACUUUUCCGCCG